rnacentral:rRNA from 1 species
CACAGGGAGGUAGUGACAAUAAAUAACAAUACAGGGCUUUCAAAGUCUUGUAAUUGGAAUGAGUACAAUUUAAACCACUUAACGAGGAACAAUUGGAGGGCAAGUCUGGUGCCAGCAGCCGCGGUAAUUCCAGCUCCAAUAGCGUAUAUUAAAGUUGUUGCAGUUAAAAAGCUCGUAGUUGAAUUUCGGGCUCGUCGGCGUGGUCCUCCUCACGGACGGCACUGUGUCGACGGGUCCCACCUUCUGGGGCUCCAGGCUGCACUUUACUGUGUGGUCUGGCGCGCCAGAUACUUUACUUUGAAAAAAUUAGAGUGUUCAAAGCAGGCUCGCGCUUGAAUACAUUAGCAUGGAAUAAUAGAAUAGGACUUUGGUUCUGUUUUGUUGGUUUAAAGGACCAAAGUAAUGAUUAAUAGGGACAGUUGGGGGCAUUAGUAUUUCAGGGCUAGAGG